AGCAGCCGCGGUAAUUCCAGCUCCAAUAGCGUAUAUUAAAGUUGUUGCAGUUAAAAAGCUCGUAGUUGAAUUUCGGGAUCAGUAUGUUGGUCGUGCUUCGGUACGUACUGUCAUUACUGGUUUCUACCUUCUGAAGAACCAUGAUGUCAUUAAUUUGGUGUCGUGGGGAAUCAGGACUGUUACUUUGAAAAAUUAGAGUGUUUAAAGCAGGCUCGCGCUUGAAUACAUUAGCAUGGAAUAAUGAAAUAGGACGUUUGAUUCUAUUUUGUUGGUUUCUAGGAUCGACGUAAUGAUUAAUAGGGAUAGUUGGGGGCAUUAGUAUUCAAUUGUCAGAGGUGAAAUUCUUGGAUUUAUUGAAGACUAACUACUGCGAAAGCAUUUGCCA
rnacentral:sRNA from 1 species